GUAAUAUCUCAUUCGUUCGGAAAUACUUGUUAUAGGAAUGGAUGUAUCUAGAUGUAUUUUAGUUCUAGAUACGUUCAUUUGUAUCCAUUUUUGUAACAAGUAAUUCCGGAUGGAGGGAGUAUAUA
rnacentral:pre_miRNA from 1 species